CGCCAGGAAAUUACGAGCAAUGCUUAAAACCCAAAGGACUUGACGGUGUCCCACCCAACUAGAGGAGCCUGUUCUAUAAUCGAUGAUCCCCGCUAUACCCGACCAUUUCUAGCUCCUCAGUCUGUAUACCUCCGUCGAAAGUCUACCAUGUGAACGUUUUCCAGUAGGCCCAAGGAUCCCCGUCAAUACGUCAGGUCAAGGUGCAGCUUACGAAAUGGGAAGUGAUGGGCUACAAUUUCUAACCUAGAACAAACGAAAUACUGUGUGAAAUCACAGUCACGAAGGCGGAUUUAGCAGUAAAAAGAAAAUAGAGUGU
rnacentral:rRNA from 1 species